rnacentral:lncRNA from 1 species
UUGCUCCUGGGUUUGAUCCCCAGUACCUAACUUUUAAAAAGAGGUUUAUUUUGUCUGCAGGUGGAAAAGUGCAAGCCCAGGACUGCCCUGACAAGGACCCCUGUGCGUUAUCUCAAGGUUCGCUCCAACGUGAGACAAGAGGGCCGGGCUUCCAGACCCCGACAAGAGCAGACCCUGGCAUCUACAGAGCCUACAUGCUGUGGUUUGCAAACGGCUCACCCCACAACGUUGGUGAGGUCGUGGGCGUUAGGGUUUUUUUUCCCAGCAACUGAAAGGUAACUGGUACAGAAUGCCACCCACCAAGGUUGCCCUCAGAGUGACACUGAGACUGGUACUACCCCUCGAUCCUCCGGAAUGGCACGUUCAAUAAAUGUCUUUUUCCAUAACACUACUUGUCUGC